GCUGCCCCGAGCAGAGCAGACGGGGCCAGCUGCCUUUGCACGUCGCAGCUGAAUGCCCGUCUGUUUUGCUGUCACAAAGGAUCGCUUUGUGAGCUGGGCUGUUGGUGGAGGAGCAGGAUGUAACCCACCUUCUGCAGCAGCCGCUCAGUUCGUCUCUAUCAGAGCAGUGUGAGCAGAUGGGUUCCUCCCUGCUGGGAAAGCAGCGCUCUGCCUUCUGCAGGGUGCUGUGGGUGUUGGGGUGCUGCUGUGCCGUGCCAGGAGGGGGGUCUGUAGGGGGAAAUCUCUUCCCAUGUCUGCGACCAACGAGGCCUCGUGUCAGCGAUGUGUCUCAGCUCUGCACACACAAAGGUCCUGCAGCCUGCCGACUGCCGCCCUUUUAUCUGGCCCUCGUUUAAAGCUGUGCGGCGACUCCAGUGAGCUCCUUUCUGUCUGAGCAUUCCUUUUGCCCUGGGCAGAGCACAAAGCCCCACAGCCACAGCUCAGAGCAGCGCUGCUGAGUGCCAGCCUGAAAGAUGAGGGAGGGCACCCAAACCUUCAGCCUGAUCAGCAAAGCGGCGUGUUGUUAAUCAGCUCCGGCGCUAAUUGAGGGCCCUGUGGUCGCUGAGCUGCUGCCAGGAAUGUAGGGUGCCCUAGCAGCCAAAGAGCCUCGCUGAGCUAAGAGCCACCCUGAGCCCUUUGUCUCACACGCAGAGCGCGGAUCAGCAGCUGCGCUUCAUCUGUCAUCCAUAUUUGGUAGCAAACUUGCUCACAUCUCAACAGCUCUUUGCAGGAGCUGCUGAAGAGUCGGGGUGAUGACAUCAGCUGUGAGCUGAAGGUUGGUGGGCUCGGAGCUGGGAUGUGGUCAGCAUGCAGGGUCAGCACAUGGGGUCGUCCAUACACAGGUUUGGGAGAGGGGAACCCGUGCUGUGCACUGCAUGCAGCGUUCAGCUUUCAGAGCAAAUGUGCUUCGUGCUGCAGACAUUCUUGCUCUGCGUUAGCAUCUCUUUUCAGCCCUCUUGCCUUGCACUGGAAGGGAAGCUCGGCACACUCCUGUUAUCACCGAGCCGAGGUGGCCACAAAUCCUCCUGCUGAAAACCAGAGGGAAAAUCUGCUUGUGAGGACUUUGCAGCGCAGCUGCAGAGAAGAGAAGCAGCUCCAAACCCAGCAGAACAGCUGCAGAGCUGUCCUGCCGCGGGCAACAUGGGGAGAUGUGUGGCCAGGAGAUAGGAGAGCUGAAAAGCCAUUGCCUCCCUCUGCUCCUGCAAGCUGCUGCUCACGUGGCACCCUGUGCUCCUGGGGAGUCAGGAGGACGUUCUUCCUUGUGUGCACCCUAAAAACGAGGUCUGCCUCAUUAGAUUAUCGCCGACAAAUCACAGCCAGAUGGUCCACCAUCAGCUCCUGCAGCUGAAGGAGCCAAGGGACUGCAGGAGGACGCGUGGCUCCGGGAAGGACCUCGGGUGGGCUGGGAACCCAACGCCGUUUCCAUGCCCUCCUGAGCCCAAAGGCCUCAAAGGACUCAGCGUUCACUGCUUGUGCUUCCACAUUAUUUCUGAUGCGCUCGGUGCUGCGGCGCACAGACAGCGGCCCCAAAAAGCUCCAAUGAGCCGCGCCUCUGUUGUGGCUGGGAACAAAGCUGCGCCCUUCCAGAGGACCCCAAAGAUGGGAGCGUUCUGCAGCCCCGUUGUGCCUUCAGCCUCCAGGCUGGGGGGCGAAGAGCCGGCGUGGCCCGGCGGCGCAUCUCCUGCGCCGGCCGUCGG